GAGAGCUUGCUCUCUGAUUCAGCGGCGGACGGGUGAGUAAUGCCUAGGAAUCUGCCUGGUAGUGGGGGACAACGUCUCGAAAGGGACGCUAAUACCGCAUACGUCCUACGGGAGAAAGCAGGGGACCUUCGGGCCUUGCGCUAUCAGAUGAGCCUAGGUCGGAUUAGCUAGUUGGUGAGGUAAUGGCUCACCAAGGCGACGAUCCGUAACUGGUCUGAGAGGAUGAUCAGUCACACUGGAACUGAGACACGGUCCAGACUCCUACGGGAGGCAGCAGUGGGGAAUAUUGGACAAUGGGCGAAAGCCUGAUCCAGCCAUGCCGCGUGUGUGAAGAAGGUCUUCGGAUUGUAAAGCACUUUAAGUUGGGAGGAAGGGCAGUAAAUUAAUACUUUGCUGUUUUGACGUUACCGACAGAAUAAGCACCGGCUAACUCUGUGCCAGCAGCCGCGGUAAUACAGAGGGUGCAAGCGUUAAUCGGAAUUACUGGGCGUAAAGCGCGCGUAGGUGGUUUGUUAAGUUGGAUGUGAAAUCCCCGGGCUCAACCUGGGAACUGCAUUCAAAACUGACAAGCUAGAGUAUGGUAGAGGGUGGUGGAAUUUCCUGUGUAGCGGUGAAAUGCGUAGAUAUAGGAAGGAACACCAGUGGCGAAGGCGACCACCUGGACUGAUACUGACACUGA
rnacentral:rRNA from 1 species